rnacentral:rRNA from 1 species
UACGUAGGUGACCAGCGUUGUCCGGAUUUACUGGGCGUAAAGAGCGCGCAGGCGGUCGUUCAAGUCGAGUGUGAAAGCCCCCGGCUCAACUGGGGAGGGUCACUCGAUACUGAUCGACUCGAAGGCAGGAGAGGGAAGCGGAAUUCCCGGUGUAGUGGUGAAAUGCGCAGAUAUCAGGAGGAACACCUAUUGCGAAGGCAGCUCGCUGGGACGUAACUGACGCUGAGACGCGAAAGCGUGGGGAGCAAACAGG